AGAGUUUGAUCAUGGCUCAGAUUGAACGCUGGCGGCAGGCCUAACACAUGCAAGUCGAACGGUAACAGGAAGCAGCUUGCUGCUUCUCUGACGAGUGGCGGACGGGUGAGUAAUGUCUGGGAAACUGCCUGAUGGAGGGGGAUAACUACUGGAAACGGUAGCUAAUACCGCAUAACGUCGCAAGACCAAAGAGGGGGACCUUCGGGCCUCUUGCCAUCGGAUGUGCCCAGAUGGGAUUAGCUUGUUGGUGGGGUAACGGCUCACCAAGGCGACGAUCCCUAGCUGGUCUGAGAGGAUGACCAGCCACACUGGAACUGAGACACGGUCCAGACUCCUACGGGAGGCAGCAGUGGGGAAUAUUGCACAAUGGGCGCAAGCCUGAUGCAGCCAUGCCGCGUGUAUGAAGAAGGCCUUCGGGUUGUAAAGUACUUUCAGCGGGGAGGAAGGGAGUAAAGUUAAUACCUUUGCUCAUUGACGUUACCCGCAGAAGAAGCACCGGCUAACUCCGUGCCAGCAGCCGCGGUAAUACGGAGGGUGCAAGCGUUAAUCGGAAUUACUGGGCGUAAAGCGCACGCAGGCGGUUUGUUAAGUCAGAUGUGAAAUCCCCGGGCUCAACCUGGGAACUGCAUCUGAUACUGGCAAGCUUGAGUCUCGUAGAGGGGGGUAGAAUUCCAGGUGUAGCGGUGAAAUGCGUAGAGAUCUGGAGGAAUACCGGUGGCGAAGGCGGCCCCCUGGACGAAGACUGACGCUCAGGUGCGAAAGCGUGGGGAGCAAACAGGAUUAGAUACCCUGGUAGUCCACGCCGUAAACGAUGUCGACUUGGAGGUUGUGCCCUUGAGGCGUGGCUUCCGGAGCUAACGCGUUAAGUCGACCGCCUGGGGAGUACGGCCGCAAGGUUAAAACUCAAAUGAAUUGACGGGGGCCCGCACAAGCGGUGGAGCAUGUGGUUUAAUUCGAUGCAACGCGAAGAACCUUACCUGGUCUUGACAUCCACGGAAGUUUUCAGAGAUGAGAAUGUGCCUUCGGGAACCGUGAGACAGGUGCUGCAUGGCUGUCGUCAGCUCGUGUUGUGAAAUGUUGGGUUAAGUCCCGCAACGAGCGCAACCCUUAUCCUUUGUUGCCAGCGGUCCGGCCGGGAACUCAAAGGAGACUGCCAGUGAUAAACUGGAGGAAGGUGGGGAUGACGUCAAGUCAUCAUGGCCCUUACGACCAGGGCUACACACGUGCUACAAUGGCGCAUACAAAGAGAAGCGACCUCGCGAGAGCAAGCGGACCUCAUAAAGUGCGUCGUAGUCCGGAUUGGAGUCUGCAACUCGACUCCAUGAAGUCGGAAUCGCUAGUAAUCGUGGAUCAGAAUGCCACGGUGAAUACGUUCCCGGGCCUUGUACACACCGCCCGUCACACCAUGGGAGUGGGUUGCAAAAGAAGUAGGUAGCUUAACCUUCGGGAGGGCGCUUACCACUUUGUGAUUCAUGACUGGGGUGAAGUCGUAACAAGGUAACCGUAGGGGAACCUGCGGUUGGAUCACCU
rnacentral:rRNA from 1 species